rnacentral:lncRNA from 10 species
CCAAGCCUCCCCACCUAUCCCCCACCCCGCACGUUGCGCGCUCACUGACUGCACCAGAACUUAGCCGGUCAGUCCAGAGGUUUAUUUUGAGCACAGGUGGGAGGGACAGGGGGAGGAGAGAAGCGCAGGGGUCGUGGCCUCAUCAGGUCCGAGGUCCAGGGAGGCGGGUCCGGUCCUGUUGGUCCUGGUCCCGAAUUGGUAGCUGGGUGUAUCUCCGGACCAUGUUGGGGGCGCACCAUCCCUGGGAGGGGUGGCUGAGGCUCAGCGAGGGAGGGGACGCUACGCGGGCCACCUCCCUUCCCAGCAGACCACUAGCCUCUUCCAUCGGUCUGCAUGCCGGGGUGAGAGUGGGAGCCGGGUCCGAAUGCUGAGUUCUCCUCGCCUAGUGCCUCUCCUCACCUAAUGCCCCUGGCUCGACCCAAAGCCCGCGCCUGCCGCGGGUGACCCACUGCCUGAGUUCGAAUCCAAGCUCCACCCAGUAUUGUGACUUUUGACAAGUUACUUAA